rnacentral:rRNA from 1 species
UACGUAGGGUGCGAGCGUUGUCCGGAAUUAUUGGGCGUAAAGAGCUCGUAGGCGGUUUCGUAAGUCGGAUGUGAAAACUCAGGGCUCAACCCGGAGACGCCAUCUGAUACUGCGAUGACUGGAGUCUGGUAGGGGAUCACGGAAUACCUGGUGUAGCGGUGAAAUGCGCAGAUAUCAGGUGGAACACCGAUGGCGAAGGCAGUGAUCUGGGCCAGUACUGACGCUGAGGAGCGAAAGCGUGGGGAGCAAACAGG